UGGGUUGAAGAUAUGCUUGGUGUGAUCCGAGUAGGGUUUGUUUGCGCAAAUUAAUGCUGUUCAACUGUUUGAACAUUUUUUGUUGGCUGAGCAAUGGAAAUGGAAUGCUAUUGGUAUCAUAUGCUAGAGCAACUUAAAAUGGCGGGGAGAAAUCGUUUUCCUCGUGAGGCCUAUAGUGAACGUCGUGGCUUCCCCCCAGAGAGAAAUUUCAUUCGUGGCCCUCCUUUGCCACAUCCACCUCCUCAUCCUGCCUUGUUGGAGGAUGAACUUGAAAUACAGCAUGCUGAAAUUCGUGGGCUCCUGGUUGAUAAUCGUCGGCUUGUUGAAGAUCGAAUGGCUCUGCAGCAAGAGCUUGGUGCUGCCAAGGAGGAACUUCAUCGUAUGAAUAUUGUCAUUUCUGAAAUGCGCAUGGAACAUGAAGUGCAUUCAAGGGAGCUUAUUGAGAAAGGCUUGAAGCUGGAAGCUGAUCUUCGUGCAACUGAGCCUUUGAAGAAUGAGGUUGUACAACUACGUGAGGAGGUUCAUAAACUGAGUAAUGCAAAGAAGGAACUCCUUGGGCAAAUUCAGUCCCUCAAACAAGAACUCGCUAGAUCACAAGCUGAUAAUCAACAGAUUCCUGUUUUGCGGGGUGAAAUUGAGGGCAUGCACCAGGAACUUAUGCAUGCUAGAACUGCUAUCGAUUAUGAAAAGAAGGCAAACAUUGAGUUGGUGGAACAGAGACAGGCAAUGGAGAAGGACAUGGUUUCUAUGGCACGUGAAGUUGAAAAGCUACGGGCUGAGCUUGCUAAUGCUGAUGCUCGACCUCGGGUUUCUGGUGGAGCGUACGGGAUGAAGUAUGGUAAUCCUGAGGGGGGGUUUCCUGCACCCUAUGGAGAUCGAUAUGGGACUCACAUGGUUGCUGCUGACAAGGGUCCUUUGUAUGGCCCUGGUCCUGCUUCAUGGGACAAAGCCCGCUUGCCUCGUCGUUGAGAUGGUUGCUGUUGAGAUUCAAAAGGGCCAAGUUGUAACUGUGGCUGCCUGUUAUAUUGUUGAAUAUCUCAGUCCAGAAGAAGUGUCUUUCGUCUUUGCAUGCUUUCGUCUUUGCAUGCAUUCGUCUUUGCAUGCAUGCCAAACAAUAGUCUUUUAUCUGAAUACAUUCUCCACCUUUUCUGCUUGCCUUGCCUCUUUACCUCCGUUUGUUACUCUUUCCAGUCUCGCAUCACUUGCCAAAUUGAUAACUGGGUGUGAAGGCAGGCGAAACUCAGGUAUUGUUUUUUAUUACUAUUGCUCUGUUAUACUAGCACUCCCACCCAAGGCAGCUUGACGCUGCAUUACCCCACUUCUAUCCCAGAGGGAGGUGCCAUCCAGAACAAAGUGCCACAGAAAGGGAAGUUUUAGUCCUCUAUUAUAAUUGCUUUUUAAAAGAAAGUUUUACGCAUUAAAAAUUAUUUAAAAGAAAAAAAAAUAUUGCUGAUAAGAUUUAUUUCUAGAAAGGAAUAACUAAAAUUUUGGGGUGAGCAUUGAUUGGUUUAAAUCAAAAUAACCAUUGAGGUUUAGUUAAUUUGAUUUGAUUUAUUGCAUGUUGAUUAAGUUUGGUUUGAAAUUUUAAUCAAUCUUUAUUUUUCGUUUUCAAUUUGGUUGUAUUUUCUCAGAACAGAAAAAAUUGAUUUUGUGUCAAUUUUUUUUGAACUAGCGUGUACUGGCUUCUCAUCUGCCACUCUUAAUCUCUGCAUGGUGCUGUCUCUCUCCAUUGCUAUUCUCAUUCUUAAUUAGGCAAGCCCGUGUUAAUGAAAGCUAAAGUUUUCCUUGAUUUGUGUUUCUUCCAAGUCAUUCAUUAAGAACUUGCAUUUGGGUGUUAUAUAAACCUUGAGGUUGUGAUUUGUUUGGGGGUUUGUCAGUAAGCUUAUGUUUUGCCUCUCUUCUUGUCAGUGAGUUUAUUAUUCUUUUUGGAAAAAAAAAAUUUCAAUCUGCCUAGUUAAUCACAUAAAAUAGAUGGUUGCAAUAAGCUAAGCUGAAACUGAAAGGAGAAGGCUCGGUCAAUUGUUAGUUUGGUAGAUUCGUCUUUUUACUUUUCAACUUUAAUACCAUUACAAUUCAUUUAUUUUGGUUUUGCCAAAAUCUGAACCCAAUCUAACCAACCAAUGCUCACCCCCUAAGGACAAUAGGAGCAACAUUCUGGUUUCAAUCCAAUUUUAUGUCAAUGAAUAGAAAGUCAAAUGGUCCAAAAUACCAGCAUUUGUAUGGAUUUAUUUUUAUUACUUUCUGAUAAUAGAAGAAGCAUAUUGCUGCAUAAA